rnacentral:rRNA from 1 species
AUACGUAGGGUGCGAGCGUUGUCCGGAAUUACUGGGCGUAAAGAGCUCGUAGGUGGUUUGUCGCGUCGUCUGUGAAAUUCCGGGGCUUAACUCCGGGCGUGCAGGCGAUACGGGCAUAACUUGAGUACUGUAGGGGAGACUGGAAUUCCUGGUGUAGCGGUGAAAUGCGCAGAUAUCAGGAGGAACACCGGUGGCGAAGGCGGGUCUCUGGGCAGUAACUGACGCUGAGGAGCGAAAGCAUGGGUAGCGAACAGGAUUAGAUACCCUGGUAGUCCAUGCCGUAAACGGUGGGCGCUAGGUGUAGGGGUCUUCCACGACUUCUGUGCCGUAGCUAACGCAUUAAGCGCCCCGCCUGGGGGGUACGGCCGCAAGGCUAAAACUCAAAGGAAUUGACGGGG